GAAACUGCGAAUGGCUCAUUAAAUCAGUUAUCGUUUAUUUGAUAGUACCUUACUACUUGGAUACCCGUGGUAAUUCUAGAGCUAAUACAUGCUAAAAACCCCGACUUCGGAAGGGGUGUGUUUAUUAGAUAAAAAACCAAUGCCCUUCGGGGCUGCUUGGUGAUUCAUGAUAACCAAACGAAUCGCAUGGCCUUGAGCCGGCGAUGGUUCAUUCAAAUUUCUGCCCUAUCAACUUUCGAUGGUAGGAUCUGGGCCUACCAUGGUAUCAACGGGUAACGGGGAAUUAGGGUUCGAUUCCGGAGAGGGAGCCUGAGAAACGGCUACCACAUCCAAGGAAGGCAGCAGGCGCGCAAAUUACCCAAUCCCGACUCGGGGAGGUAGUGACAAUAAAUACUGAUACAGGGCUCUUUUGGGUCUUGUAAUUGGAAUGAGUACAAUUCAAAUCCCUUAACGAGGAACAAUUGGAGGGCAAGUCUGGUGCCAGCAGCCGCGGUAAUUCCAGCUCCAAUAGCGUAUAUUAAAGUUGUUGCAGUUAAAAAGCUCGUAGUUGAACCUUGGGCCAGGCUGGCCGGUCCGCCUAACCGCGUGCACUGGUCCGGCCGGGCCCUUUCCUCUGGGGAGCCUCAUGCCCUUCACUGGGCGUGUUGGGGAACCAGGACUUUUACUUUGAAAAAAUUAGAGUGUUCAAAGCAGGCCUUUGCUCGGAUACAUUAGCAUGGAAUAAUAGAAUAGGACGUGCGGUCCUAUUUUUGUUGGUUUCUAGAACCGCCGUAAUGAUUAAUAGGGACAGUCGGGGGCAUCAGUAUUCAGACGCGAGAGGUGAAAUUCUUAGACCGUCUGAAGACUAACUACUGCGAAAGCAUUUGCCAAGGAUGUUUUCAUUAAUCAGUGAACGAAAGUUGGGGGAUCGAAGACGAUCAGAUACCGUCGUAGUCUCAACCGUAAACUAUGCCGACUAGGGAUCGGGCGACGUUCCAAUUAUGACUCGCCCGGCACCUUACGAGAAAUCAAAGUUUUUGGGUUCUGGGGGGG
rnacentral:rRNA from 1 species